ACAUCACUGGAAAGUCCCUCACCUUCACCCUGAAGAACCCUGCAGGUGUGACCCAGAAACAGAAUGAGGCCAACGGGAACUGGGGACUGUCCAGACGGUGGGCAACCUCUUCCGGGUCCGUCUGGCCUCCAACAAACAGACAGGAUUAUGGGAAAUCAGCAUGAACUCCAACCAGCCCUACACACUGAAGGUCACUGGUCAGAGUACCAUUGCCUUCAUUUAUGACUUUGUGGAGACUUUGAGGACCUCA